rnacentral:misc_RNA from 1 species
GAUGAAGAACGCAGCGAAUUGCGAUAAGUAAUGUGAAUUGCAGAUUACGUGAAUCAUCGAAUCUUUGAACGCAUAUUGCACUCUCUGGUAAUCCGGAGAGUAUGCCUGUUUGAGGGUCAGUAAAAAUAAAAAAUCUAUCAUGAUUCCUUUUUUUUUAAUAAAAAAAAAGGAUCGUGGAAUUGGAUCUUUCAAAGGUUUAUUCCUUUGAUGAUCUUAAAUUUAUGUUUAUACGGCCGAUUAAAUUGAACUAAAAAGAGCAAUUAUUUAUAAUCUCGAAUUUGGAGACGUUUAUUGGCCAAUAUGAUUUUUUGGUAUUUUGAUAUACUUAAAAAGUCAUAAACAUUUUUUAAAUUGACCUCAAAUCAGGUAAGAAUACCCGCUGAACUUAAGCAUAUCAAUAAGCGGAGGA